rnacentral:rRNA from 1 species
AUUGAACGCUGGCGGCGUGCUUAACACAUGCAAGUCGAACGAAGUGGCGCACGGGUGAGUAACGCGUAAUCAACCUGCCCUUCAGAGGGGGACAACAGUUGGAAACGACUGCUAAUACCGCAUACUGAAGGUGGGGAUUGCGUCGGAUUAGCUAGUUGGAGGGGUAACGGCCCAGCAAGGCGAUGAUCAGAAGCCGGUCCGAGAGGAGGAACGGCCACAUUGGGACUGGGAAACGGCCCAAACUCCUACGGGAGGCAGCAGUUGGGAAACUUCCGCAAUGGACGAAAGGCUGACGGAGCAACGCCGCGUGAGUGAUGACGGCCUUCGGGUUGUAAAGCUCUGUUAAUCGGGGCGCGGUACCGGAAUAGAAAGCCACGGCUAACUACGUGCCAGCCGCCGCGGUAAUUC